AAAAGUAAAAUCAAAAGUAAAAGUAAAUUCACUUUAGCUACGUGGCCCAUGGCUGCCACGGACCAUGGCUGCCACUACCAUAAUCCUUUGCGGUACGUGCCUUGUCGAUGUGAUCAAAUGGCGGACGACAACACAAGAAGGUCGAAAAGCGUAUUGUAAGAUUGUGUUGGAUAUCCCUAAAGAGUGAAUCUCACAACCCUUUCUAAAAUAAGCCAAGGCAGCAAGACAGCUAAGGGUAUUGGCUGCAAAUGGGAAACAAGCAUCAAUCUUUCUGUGUCUUCUGUGUAUUAAAAGCUUCGUAUCGCUUUGUAUAUUAGCUACUAAUGAAUGAAAUGAAGUCAAAAAUAGCGUAGUUCCAGUUGGAUCUAGAGGGAUCUAAAAAAGGACACGGGAGGCUUGCGUUUGUAGGCCAGCCCAGUCAGUUGUCAAUGUGUGAUGUAACGUCAUCAGGUUCCUCCCUUUCGCAAGAGCUCAUUGGAAACUGUUGUUGUCGAGACAGGUUUGGUGGAUAUUUUUAUCACUUGAUAUUAGAACACCUUCCUCACAGUAAGACUGCAACUUUGUUCUAUUCUACAAUGGCUUGGUAACAUGAUGUUUAUAAUCCAAACAAUGUGGGUAGUUUUUGCAUUUGGUUCAUUUCUGAGCUGUGGUCUUAACAUGAAUUUCCCCACCACCGAGUCAUAAGUACAGAGAAAAACUGUUAUGUACACACUUGGAUUGCAUCCUAAUCAAGGCCAAAAUAUAAAGCAAAAUGACAGACAGAGAAGAUGUAGUUAAAGUAUGACCUCGAAACGUCGUAAAAAUCACUUGCUGUCUUUAUCGUUUAUUUUACUACUGAUUUAUUUAUUCAAAGUCAAUAUUGUGAAAAGAUAGUUUUUAAUAUAUAUAUGACAUAUAAAUACAGUGAGACCAUCAAAGGUUCACCUGUUAAGGAGCCAUCAUCUAUUCAGUGGCCACUUCUCAAAGUAUGUGUGUAUAUAAACUAGAAUAAUUAAACAAUCUCUAAUAACUGAGCCACAUAUUUACAAGUCCAUGCAAAAUAGAGGUCUUGUUGUUUUACAUUUUAAACACAUCUUCCGAAAUCAUUAUUUCAGUAAUCAUUUCUAUAAUACAGGUAAUUAAAUGUUGAAGCACCUAAUCAAGGCAUAUCAAACUCAU